rnacentral:rRNA from 1 species
ACACCGGCAGCUCAAGUGGUAGCCGCUUUUAUUGGGCCUAAAGCGUCCGUAGCCGGUCUGAUAAGUCUCUGGUGAAAUCCCGCAGCUUAACUGUGGGAAUUGCUGGAGAUACUAUCAUGACUCGAGGUCGGGAGAGGCUGGAGGUACUCCCAGGGUAGGGGUGAAAUCCUGUAAUCCUGGGAGGACCACCUGUGGCGAAGGCGUCCAGCUGGAACGAACCUGACGGUGAGGGACGAAAGCCAGGGGCGCGAACCGGAUUAGAUCCCCGGGUAGUCCUGGCCGUAAACGAUGUGGACUUGGUGUUGGGAUGGCUUCGAGCUGCCCCAGUGCCGAAGGGAAGCUGUUAAGUCCACCGCCUGGGAAGUACGGCCGCAAGGCUGAAACUUAAAUGAAUUGGCGGGG